GGCCCGCUUGCCGAACUGUCGCCCGUCGAGGCGUGCGUUCCGGUAGCACCGGAUAGGCGGCGGGCAUCGU
rnacentral:ncRNA from 1 species